rnacentral:rRNA from 1 species
GACGAACGCUGGCGGCGGGCUUAACACAUGCAAGUCGAACGGAAAGGCCCUGCUUUUGUGGGGUGCUCGAGUGGCGAACGGGGGAGUAACACGUGAGUAACCUGCCCUUGACUUUGGGAUAACUUCAGGAAACUGGGGCUAAUACCGGAUAGGAGCUCCUGCUGCAUGGAGGGGGUUGGAAAGUUUCGGCGGUUGGGGAUGGACUCGCGGCUGAUCAGCUUGUUGGUGGGGUAGUGGCUUACCAAGGCUUUGACGGGUAGCCGGCCUGAGAGGGUGACCGGCCACAUGGGGACUGAGAUACGGACCAGACUCCUACGGGAGGCAGCAGUCGGGAAUAUGGCACAAUGGGCGGAAGCCUGAUGCAGCAACGCCGCGUGCGGGAUGACGGCCUUCGGGUUGUAAACCGCUUUCGCCUGUGACGAAGCGUGAGUGACGGUAAUGGGUAAAGAAGCACCGGCUAACUACGUG